rnacentral:rRNA from 1 species
CGGGGUGCACCAGGCGCGAAAACUCCACAAUGCGCGAAAGCGUGAUGGGGUUAACCCGAGUGCCGUCCGAUGAGGAUGGCUUUUCUUCAGUUUAAGGAUCUGGAGGAAUAAAGGGGGGGCAAGACUGGUGUCAGCCGCCGCGGUAAUACCAGCCCCCUGAGUGGUAGGGACGAUUAUUUGGCCUAAAGCGUCCGUAGCCUGUUUGGGAAGUCUUUCGUUAAAUCCGACGAUUCCAUCGUUGGGACGCGGAAGAUACUGCCAGACUUGAGGACGGGAGAGGUCGACGGUAGUCCUAGGGUAGGGGUGAAAUCCUAUAAUCCUAGGAGGACCACCAGUGGCGAAGGCGGUCGACUAGAACGUGCCUGACGGUGAUGGACGAAAGCUGGGGGAGCGAACCGGAUUAGACACCCGGGUAGUCCCAGCUGUAAACGAUGCGAGCUAGGUGUUGGAGCAACUACGAGUUGCUCCAGUGCCGCAGAGAAGUUGUUAAGCUCGCCGCCUGGGAAGUACGGCCGCAAGGCUGAAACUUAAAGGAAUUGGC